rnacentral:rRNA from 1 species
GACGAACGCUGGCGGCGUGCUUAACACAUGCAAGUCGAGCGGUAAGGCCCUUUCGGGGGUACACGAGCGGCGAACGGGUGAGUAACACGUGGGUGACCUGCCCUUAGCUCUGGGAUAAGCCUGGGAAACUGGGUCUAAUACCGGAUAUGACUCCAUGAUGCAUGUUGUGGGGUGGAAAGCCUUGUGCGGCUAGGGAUGGGCCCGCGGCCUAUCAGCUUGUUGGUGGGGUGAUGGCCUACCAAGGCGACGACGGGUAGCCGGCCUGAGAGGGCGACCGGCCACACUGGGACUGAGACACGGCCCAGACUCCUACGGGAGGCAGCAGUGGGGAAUCUUGCGCAAUGGGCGAAAGCCUGACCCAGCAACGCCGCGUGAAGGAUGAAAUCCCUCGGGAUGUAAACUUCGCAAGAACGGGAAGAAUAAGUAGGGACAAUACCCCCUAUGAUGACGGUACCGUUUGUAAGCUCCGGCUAACUCCGUGCCAGCAGCCGCUGUAAU